AUGCAUCAGGAAAUAUCUAAACCAACCCACAAUCGCAUACACCGACAACAGAAAAAACAAGGUGCUCAUCUAAACUGCUCGCGCGAGCAGAUCGGUUCAAAUCGCGCCCACAAACCUAAGCGAAUCCCCAAUUAUCAGACAAUCGGCCUACCAGGUGCGGAAACCAACCGAUUGGGGCCAAAAAAUCGGCACACCACCAAACCAACCCAACAGCCCUACCGAGAUCUGGUCGGCUCGGAGCGAGAUGAGGAGCGGGCGAUCGAUCCGACGGCGCAGCCAAGACCGAUCGGGGGACGGAGUCAACCGCUAGAAAUCGAACCGCGGGGGAGCACGGAAACGUAG
rnacentral:rRNA from 1 species